rnacentral:rRNA from 1 species
AUUGAACGCUGGCGGCAGGCUUAACACAUGCAAGUCGAGCGAGCGGCGGACGGGUGAGUAAUGUCUGGGAAACUGCCUGAUGGAGGGGGAUAACUACUGGAAACGGUAGCUAAUACCGCAUACCAUCAGAUGUGCCCAGAUGGGAUUAGCUAGUAGGUGAGGUAACGGCUCACCAAGGCCACGAUGCAUAGCCGACCUGAGAGGGUGAUCGGCAACACUGGGACUGAGACACGGUCCAGACGCCUACGGGAGGCAGCAGAGGGGAAUAUUGCACAAUGGGCGCAAGCCUGAUGCAGCCAUGCCGCGUGUGUGAAGAAGGCCUUCGGGUUGUAAAGCACUUUCAGCGAGGAGGCGUUACUCGCAGAAGAAGCACCGGCUAACUCCGUGCCAGCAGCCGCGGUAAUUC